rnacentral:rRNA from 1 species
CUGCUGCCUCCCGUAGGAGUCUGGUCCGUGUCUCAGUACCAGUGUGGGGGACCUUCCUCUCAGAACCCCUACGCAUCGUCGGUUAGGUGGGCCGUUACCCCGCCUACUGCCUAAUGCGCCGCAUGCCCAUCCCUGUCCGGCCGAAGCCUUUCCUGCCUCCGGGAUGCCCCGGUGGCAUGUACGCGGGUUUAGCCCGCCUUUCGGCGGGUUGUCCCCCUGACAGGGGCAGGUUGCAUACGUGUUACUCACCCGUGCGCCGGUCGCCCGGCGGAGAAA